GCUCUCCCGUCACUGAGACAAAAACAUGAUGUCCACAGCUUCGAGGAGGAGCGGGCGAGCGGGCUCACAGUUUCUGAGAUUCCGUCCACGGUGAGCAGCUCCAAGCCAGGAACAUCACGGUGGAAACAAAGAUGCUCAGUUCAUGGCAGCCAAAAAGCAGUGCAGGGAACAGUGCCAACGAGGAAGGGACCAGGGACCAGUUCCAGAGCACAUCCAACCUCCCGGGCACACCCAGGAGCCACUCUACCAAUCCGCUAGGAGACCCGACCCGGUGAAGCCAACAGACCCGGAUCAACAGCCGCAGGCCACCAGAGGCUUCCUGGCUGGCGCCUGCCCACUUGCUCUUCCUCUUUCGUACGGUUCUGCCACCCAGCAGCCAAGGGUGUCCUCCGAUCUGAAUGCCACUCGGGCAUCCAGUACUGGGCAGGCACUGAGCACAGGCGGGAAGGAGCCAAGGAUGGGCACCUGGAGGACAGGUGGGCAUUCUUUACAGCCUCCAGGGACAGAUGUCACCCCGGAGACGGGAGGAGACCCACGGAGAGAGAAACCGGGGUCCAAGAAGCCACAGCCCAGACGCAGCCACUGCGGGGAGAGUGGCUCAUCAUGCCGGUCUCAAGGAGGUCCACGUGCAGAAAGCCACAUGUGGGCCACGACUAAGGCCUGACACACAUGGACACGAAUAUUAAAAAAGUGAAAAGAAUCGCAUCGCAGCGGUGGGUUCGGGGUUUCCAGCGCAUUUCCUAAUGCUAUGGCUUCGCAUUUCAGAAGCUUUAAGAAAGGGAGGAAUGUGAGCCUUUUCUGGUGGCCUCAGGACAGGCUCCCGGUGUCCACAGCUGAGCCCUGAGUGGGAGGGACCCACGGAACACAGCAUGCGUCCUGGAGACCCAGAUCCAUGGCUGGAGGGGUCCACUCCUCCCACCCAGUCACCAGUGUGUCCUCCAAGGAAACGAAACUUCCAGCGCCCAGGAUCUCUGCCUGGACACCGGCGGCCGGGCAGCGCCAGCCUGAGAAGGAAUCGCAUGGGCAGCCAGGACUGCAAACGAAAGGGAGGUGGGCUCCGGCCUUGGCUGUGGUUUUGCUCUUCUGAGAGUGGGCUUGGCCUGUCCUCGGGCUGAAGUCCCUCGGUGACACCCAGGUUUCCUUGGAACCGCAGGGCUGCUGGUACCGCGGUCCUGAGGGUGUCUAAGCCCGCCCGUUCCGCCGGAGAGAACUUUCCAUCUUCUGCAGGCUGCUGCUCGGGUCCUAGCUCCGUUCCUGCAGCGCCCUGCGCUCCCAGUUACUGCCCCAGUGCCUUUGUGGGUCCCACCACUUCCGUUCCCUUGCCG
rnacentral:lncRNA from 1 species